GCACUGCUGAGGAGUCCCACAAUAGGACGAAACGGCAGUCCCAUGC
rnacentral:hammerhead_ribozyme from 1 species